CAGAGGCCCUGGUGGCAUGGGCUCACAAGGGGGAUCUCCUGAUCUGUAGGCUGCACAGAUCUGUGGGAAAAGUGUGGUUUCCCAGACAGGGUAGCAUGAUCUCUCACUGCCUCCCUUGGCUGAGGGUGGGAGUUCCCCUUGCCCCGUGUGGCUCCCAGGUGGGCCGUCACACCACUCUACUUUUCCUCACUCUUCAUGAGUCACACCAACCACCUAGUCAGUCCAAAUGAGAGAACCUGGAUACCUCUGUUGACGAUGCAGGAUUCACUUGCCAUUUUGUUCUUCUCUUCGUGGGAACCUCCGAUGACAGCUGUUUCUAGCUCAAGCUGGAAGGGACUUGUCUUAGAUGAGAGUUUGGACUUGGACUUUUGAGUUAAUGGAGGAAUCCAGUGGGAGGUAAUUGAAAUAUGGGGGCAGGUUUUUCCCAUGCUCUUCUUGUGAUAGUGAAUAAGUUUCACAAUAUCUGAUUGUUUUAUAAAGGGCAGUUUCCCUGCACACACACUCUUGCCUGCUGCCAUGUAAGACAUGCCUUUUCUCCUCCUUUGCCUUCUGCCAUGAUUGUGAGUCCACCCAAGCCGUGUAGAACAGUGAGUCCAUUAAACCUCUUUUUCUUUACAAAUUACCCAGUACUGGGUAUGUCCUUAUUAGCAGUGUGAAAAGGAGCUAAUACAGUGUGAGAGUGUUUUUAGAAAAGAUUAGCAUUUGAAUUGCUAGACCUAGUAAAAAAUAUUUUCUUCAGCAUUGUGGGUGAGCAUCAUCCAAUUUAUAGACAGCCUAGAUAGAACAAAAAGGCAGAGGAAGGGCAAAUUGACUCUCUGUGCUUAAGCAGAGACAUCCAUCUUCUCCUGCCCUUGGACAUGGGUGCUUUUUAUUUUCCAUCCUUUGGACUUGUACCAGAUCUUACACUAUUGUUCCCCAGUUCUUAGGCCUUUGGAUUUCGAGUAGGAUUUACACCCACUCCCCAUUCUUAGGUCUUUGGAAUUGGAAUAGGACUCACACCAUUGGCUCCCUGGUUCUCAGGCCUUUGGGCUUCAACUGUAACUAUACCAUGGCUUUCCAUAAUCUCCAGCUUGCAGACAGUAGAUUGCAGGACUUCUCAGACUCCAUAAUUACACAAGCAAAUUCUGCAUACUAAAUCUCUUUCCAUAUUUCUAAAUAUAUCCCAUUGAUUCUAUUUCUCCGGAAAGCCCCAACUAGUACAAAAGAAACCCAUUUCUUCAGAUUUCAAUCAAAAUAUGUAACAAUCUUUUUUACUUUUUGUAGCUAAGUCAUUUUAUCAAAAGCAAAAGACAGCUGGACUGUGUAAGUGGUAAAUUUGGAGGUGUCAGCUUGAGGAGACCAUGAAGAGAUUUUGAAGGGCUGACACUAUUAUGAAUUGAUCAGGAAAAAUUUUUUUUUUUUAAUUUUCCAGUUACAUGGUUAACCCUAAAGGCAAGAAAGAUAUAACCCUGCUAGUAUAGCUUGUUAUUUUAUGAGGUAAAAGAUGAAUGGCUUUAAUGAGCAAGCAUUGAAACGUUUGAACUCUCCUUCAAAGAAAAGGGAAAAUGAAAAGUAGUUGUUAAGCACAGACAACAUGCAAGGAAGGCACUGCAGUAGACCUAUGGCCCUAAGAGUCUGUGACCAGACACCAUUUCCAUGCAUCUAUCCACCAGAGUCCUAGUCUUGCUCUACCCUUAGGAGAUCAGAGACACAUGUCCAAAGUGCAAAUCAAAAGAAUAUAGUAGAGUGCAAAGAGCUUCAGCCUAAGAUUUACAUUAGAGAUUUACUGCUUGGAUCUCAGGUAAGUGCUUUAACUUCUCUAGAUCUUGAUUUCCUAAUCUGCAGCAUGGGAAUAAUAAUGCUCGUCUUAUAUCUCACAGGGCCAAUACUGUGUUAAAAGUAGAAAUAACAGGUGAGAAUGUUGACAAAAGUAAAACCAUAACAUAGAUGCCUGGUCCUGUAGUAAUGAGGCUUGGACUGGAGAAGACAUUAAAGGUAUGUCUCAAUUCUGCAUGGGCUGGCCUCAUGAUCUUAGAAAAUUAUUCCAUUGCUUUAAGGACUUUCUGGAUAGGAGAACAGAAGAGCCUAGUUUGGCUACUAUUCAGUCUCAAAUAUGUGUAAGGCAUUGGUUGUUAACUUUGUAAAAAUAGUGAUUUCAACCUUGCACUCCUAUGUCCUCAGAAAAAAUUUUCUGAGAGCUAAAUUGCCGUGGAUUGCAGAUGAUGCCACGUAUAAGUGGUAGGUGUCUCAUGUUUGAGGAUCUCUCGGGAUAUGUUGAAGGCUAGAGUGGCAUGUUCACUCCUCCUACUCAUAUGGCCCCUCUCAGCAAAAAGCCCAUAGAGACAGCCUCUUUGGAUGAGCAUAUCUAGCAUUUUCUUUUCAUGUGUUAUAAUUAGACUGUAAUGAUGUAUCACAAACUGGAUUUUUAAAAUUAUACCCUUAGUUUUGAGUAGACAAAAAUGCUUUAAGUGUUGCAUUACUUUUAUAUCUGCUUCACGUAAGUCACCUUUCUAUAUAAAUUUCUUCUCUAAAGACAUGAUUCUUCAUUUGUUGUCUGCUCAGGAAUAUUUUGUUCUUUGCAGUUGUCUACAUUGUAUUUAGCUUUUCAUUAGUUUUUACUCUGGUCUGAGUAAAAUAGAAGUAUAUUUUGCAAUCUUUUUUUCUUCUUCUGUUUACAGGUGUUUUUAUUUUGUCAUCUUGGUAACAAUAUUUUUCAGAUCUAUUUGUAAUCUUUUAAUAUCCACAUAGUUUCUUCUACCAUUUAAAAAUGUAAAAAUUCAACUACAUGCUGAAUUUCCUGAAUUUAAUAGAUAUUCUUUAGGAAAUAAUUUCAGUAAUAAACCACUAAGCAUGCCUCCCCAAAAUGUAGGACUUUAGCUGUUUAAAUUUACUUGUUCUUGGUUCUAUGAAUAAUAUUUCAGAGUAUCCCCAAAAGCUCUCCAGCCAAGGUGCUCUGAGGUUGCAGGGGGCCUAUGUUCAUCUCAGGGCUGUUGUGAGAAUUACAUGCAGCCAUGAAGGGACAGUCUUUGUCCUCUAUCCACAUGUGAGUAAUCAUUUUUAUCCAUGCCGCUCAUACAUUUGGCAAGAUAAAUCAAACUUUCAAUUUUGGAAGACCAAAAAUGGUGGUAUCAAGGAAUACAUCACCAUGCUGUUAAACCCAGAGUGAUGUACACCCCUCUCAGAAGGCAGGUGCCAGAUUCAUAAUGUGAAUAAUCCUACUUAUUACUGCAGAAACAUCAUUUGUUUGAUUAGAAGUUGCUGCCCUAGUAUUAUGUAAUACACAAUAUAUGCAGUUCAUUGCCUUUUUAAAAUUUGAAAUUUGUAAAACUCUGAACCACACCUGGCUCCAAGAGUUUCAGGUAAGGGAUAGUGGACAUGUAGAGUAUAGUGAUUUAAAAGUUGGGCUCUGAAGCCAGACCUCCUGCCUCUUUUCUCAGCUUUACCAUCUAAUAGCUGUGUGGCCUCCGGUUAGUUACUUUACCUCUCUAAGCCUUGAUGAAAAUAGUGGAACCUAGUUCACAGGGCUAUAAAAAUUGAGUGAGGGAAUAAACAUAAAGUACUUAGAAAGCGCUUGAUGUUAAGAAUAAUGAUCUGGGGACAACUGACAUAAACCUGGACUCCCCAGGAAGCCAGGCUCCUACACCACAGGAUAUAUCAGCCAUCAUCAAAGAGGUGAGCUCUAGAGAAUCUGGCGACACUGGUUGCUGGAAGAGAGUGAAGGGAAACAUUUACUGAUAAAACUAAACCUCACUGCCAUCACUUAGGGUCGCAAUGUUUGAUACCUGACAUGUUCUUUCAAAUCUAGGCUUGACUUUGCUAUCAACUUACAUUGUGAGCUUGAGCAAGCGACUCACCCUCUCUGGACCUUUGGAUCAUGAACGAGUAAAUUAGAUGAUUUCCAAAGGCAGUCCAGCUGGAACACAUUGACUCCAAUAGGAACGUACACCAGAAGAACAACUCUGGUUGGGGAUUUGAAAACCUCUCACUUGCUAAUUCCUGGGGCCUAAGGCAACACAAUCCUUGUUUUCAUAACCCAGAGUUAUGUCCAGGGCCAGACCAGAGCAGCAGAUGGACAGACCUGACUCCUAGACGUUUGUAAUUGAUCAGGACACACUGUAAUGAAGUAAUUUUCUUGUCUUCAUUCUCCAUGUCAGCAGGGGCCUGUCUGCCAUGUAGGAAGGGUGACAGAGUAAUCUGAGCCGCCGCUGAAAACCUGCUUUUUCUCCACAGUUAUUUCGCCUGCCACGAGCUGUGGCAGGCAGUGGGAAAGAGUCCAGACAAGCAGGGGAAUUUGGAUGCUCUCAAAAUAUCAUACAGGAACUUUAAAAAUUGAACUGAUUUAUGCUUUGUAAUGCUUUCAAUAAUGUGUAAAUGAAGUUAGAACUUGAAUCUGAAUUUAAGGAAAAAUUUUAUGUUACCAGACAUGAAAGGGCCACAGAAAAAUCUCAUUGUAUGAUAACGCUCUCUCCGCUGUACCAAGAAUUGCACUUUGCAUAAAUAAUGGAUCCUGGGGUAGAAUGUGUAACAUGCAUUACUUUUCAGCAUCAAAGAAUGCUCAAAAUUACCUGGAGGUCUGAAAACUCCUCUGGGGCUUAUGAAUUCCUGGGUUCAGGCAAAGGCCUUGCCACUAUAAAUCUGGCUUACAAGCUCUCCAAGCUCAACGUGCUGCCAUGGAAACUUGACACAUGCCUCAACCUUCUCAACUGAGGUAUGGGCAUCAUAGGCUUAUAAUUUGCCCCAACCCAGACUCUGGAUUAAGAAAUAAUCCACAGUCUCAGUAGGGAUAUAUGUGGAAGAUAAUACUUCUCCACCCAGGGACCCUGUGCCAAAGGUCAAGUUGUGUGACUCAGAGUAGCUGAGGCCCUAGAAUGCCUCCCACACAUACAUUCUCUGAGCCAGUGGCCCAUAUUUUCCCCCUAAGGUUUUAUUGUCUUGCAUUUUUUUAAUCUCAGAGAAUUUUACAAUAGCUAGGUUUGGGACAAAGAACAUAAACAUGGCUCCAGCAAAACCAGUUGCAUAUGGUAUUGAAACAAAGACUCAGGGAGGAAAAAUGCAACACAGACCUGAGUGUUGUAGCCUGUUUGCUAGUGUAACCUUCUCUGCCCAUUGGGAACAGCUGGAAAAGGUCUCCUGAAACCCAGAGGCCCUGAGUUGGUCAUAAAAAUCCAGUUAAUUUGUCUUCAGUCUGAUUUGAGGUGAGUAUGACAAACAUCUCUGGGAGCAUCGUGCUUCUGCCUACCAAAAUCUUCAGCACAGCAUUUGUUGGUCUUAUGGAAACCUGCUAGUGGGGUCUGCUUAGCAUAUCAAAAGGCAAAGGGAAUUUGACACUUUCAUUACUAAAAGCUUUUUCUAGAAGUUAGCGUUAUGUAUGCCUAGUUCUGAAGACUACUAGAUAUUGUUUCACAGUUGAAAUAUCAUAAGUAAAAAUACUAGGUAGAGUAUAAAGUAUUACAUGGUAUAGAGAUGUCACAUGGAAGUUCUGAAAUUGUACAGUUUAUUCCAGUUGGGCCACAUCAUGAAACUGGAGAGGUGUGAUGGGUGCAGCAUGAACCAGGACAGAGGAAAGCAGAGAGAAGGUGCUCCACACUGAUGAAGCAGCCAGAGGAAUGGGCCUUGGCAGUGGAGGGGAACAUCUGGGCUCAGGCUCUAGACACGGUCUGCAAUUUAAAAACUGGAUUGUGAUGAGAAGCAUCUGGAGUCUGAUAAAGGCUAAUUACAGUUAAGAAAUAUGAAAAUUGAGAACUCAGGAGAAGAUCAGCUUCUACUACUGCCUGGGCAGAAUAAUCAAGAAAUUAGCACAAACUGAUGGUGACCAUAAAGAGACACUAGAGGAUAAUUGAAGUAUUAACAUUAAAGAUAUUCUGGCAAGUGGUUUGUCCCUUGAGAGUCCAGGCCGUCUUCCUUGCUACAGGACAUAAUACGACUGAAGAGCUUUUCAACAAAGCAAUGGGGGCUCUGUAGGAGGGUUGCCUCAUAAGCUUGGGCUGAGGCUGGGGCAGAGGGAUGCUGGUUAAUGAGUAGGCUUUUCUGCAUGAAGCAUGAGGACCCUGGUUGGGCCCCACACUUUCAGGGUUGCUCUAACAAAGUAAAGCAAGUACAGAGAAUGGCAAUCAGAGAGAAGGGUCUGAACUCACAGCAUGGGAAAACCUUUAGAGAUGGCCAGGCUUUUUGUUGGUUGGGAAAUGGCUCUAGAUGAAUACAGUUGGCAUUUUCAGUUAUUUUAGUGAAGACAUCAUGAGGAGAGGAGAUUGUACAUAGUCUCUAGACUACCAAAGGAAUAGCUAAAACUACAUUUAAAACAUUUUUAACCAAACAUUGUUGAGCUCCUUUCACGCGCCAUACAAGGGACCUACGGUUUCC
rnacentral:lncRNA from 1 species